rnacentral:lncRNA from 1 species
UUUUAGCCCAAUUGCCUCCUACAUGGGGAAGGUUGGGGUCCUCUUUAUUCUACUUUUCAUUCUCGCUCUGCCGCCCUCCCAGGUGUUUGUAAUCACAUAUUUUUCAUUUGGUUUCCGGGUCCAGCGACAAGAACACCAGAAACACCUCCUCCCCAGAGAGGAAGAGAGGAUGCUCCGCCGCCUCAACAGGGAGCUGCCACCACCGUGUACUGUGCUGCUGUCCCAGAACUGGAGGGUCUGGGAGGGAUGUACUUCAACAACUGCUGCCGCUGCAUGCCCUCACCAGAAGCUCAGAGCGAAGAGACGGCCCGGACCCUGUGGGCGCUCAGCGAGAGGCUGAUCCAAGAACGGCUUGGCAGCCAGUCCGGCUAAGUGGAGCUCAGAGCGGAUGGGCACACACACCCGCCCUGUGUGUGUCCCCUCACGCAAGUGCCAGGGCUGGGCCCCUUCCAAAUGUCCCUCCAACACAGAUCCGCAAGAGUAAAGGAAAUAAGAGCAGUCACAACAGAGUGAAAAAUCUUAAGUACCAAUGGGAAGCAGGGAAUUCCUGGGGUAAAGUAUCACUUUUCUGGGGCUGGGCUAGGCAUAGGUCUCUUUGCUUUCUGGUGGUGGCCUGUUUGAAAGUAAAAACCUGCUUGGUGUGUAGGUUCCGUAUCUCCCUGGAGAAGCACCAGCAAUUCUCUUUCUUUUACUGUUAUAGAAUAGCCUGAGGUCCCCUCGUCCCAUCCAGCUACCACCACGGCCACCACUGCAGCCGGGGGCUGGCCUUCUCCUACUUAGGGAAGAAAAAGCAAGUGUUCACUGCUCCUUGCUGCAUUGAUCCAGGAGAUAAUUGUUUCAUUCAUCCUGACCAAGACUGAGCCAGCUUAGCAACUGCUGGGGAGACAAAUCUCAGAACCUUGUCCCAGCCAGUGAGGAUGACAGUGACACCCAGAGGGAGUAGAAUACGCAGAACUACCAGGUGGCAAAGUACUUGUCAUAGACUCCUUUGCUAAUGCUAUGCAAAAAAUUCUUUAGAGAUUAUAACAAAUUUUUCAAAUCAUUCCUUAGAUACCUUGAAAGGCAGGAAGGGAAGCGUAUAUACUUAAGAAUACACAGGAUAUUUUGGGGGGCAGAGAAUAAAACGUUAGUUAAUCCCUUUGUCUGUCAAUCACAGUCUCAGUUCUCUUGCUUUCACAUUGUACUUAAACCUCCUGCUGUGCCUCGCAUCCUAUGCUUAAUAAAAGAACAUGCUUGAAUAUC